rnacentral:rRNA from 1 species
UACGUAGGGUGCAAGCGUUGUCCGGAAUUAUUGGGCGUAAAGAGCUCGUAGGCGGUCUGUCACGUCGGCUGUGAAAACCCGAGGCUCAACCUCGGGCCUGCAGUCGAUACGGGCAAACUAGAGUACUGCAGGGGAGACUGGAAUUCCUGGUGUAGCGGUGAAAUGCGCAGAUAUCAGGAGGAACACCGGUGGCGAAGGCGGGUCUCUGGGCAGUAACUGACGCUGAGGAGCGAAAAGCGUGGGGAGCGAACAGG